GACGAACGCUGGCGGCGUGCUUAACACAUGCAAGUCGAACGGAAAGGCCCUGCUUUUGUGGGGUGCUCGAGUGGCGAACGGGUGAGUAACACGUGAGUAACCUGCCCUUGACUUUGGGAUAACUUCAGGAAACUGGGGCUAAUACCGGAUAGGAGCUCCUGCUGCAUGGUGGGGGUUGGAAAGUUUCGGCGGUUGGGGAUGGACUCGCGGCUUAUCAGCUUGUUGGUGGGGUAGUGGCUUACCAAGGCUUUGACGGGUAGCCGGCCUGAGAGGGUGACCGGCCACAUGAGGACUGAGAGACGGACCAGACUCCUACGGGAGGCAGCAGUGGGGAAUAUUGCACAAUGGGCGGAAGCCUGAUGCAGCAACGCCGCGUGCGGGAUGACGGCCUUCGGGUUGUAAACCGCUUUCGCCUGUGACGAAGCGGGAGUGACGGUAAUGGGUAAAGAAGCACCGGCUAACUACGUG
rnacentral:rRNA from 1 species